ensembl:snoRNA
UGGCUCAGUGAUGACCACUGGUCACGUAUGAGUCUCACAUGAUGAAUACGGACCUGGAACUCUGAUGUCCCA